GCAUUGGGUUUCUUCACUCCGGGGAGUUCCAAGAAUCGUUACUUGGGAAUUUGGUACAAUAACAUCCCCAUGCAAACUGUUGUAUGGGUUGCAAACAGGAUAAAUCCAAUAAAUGACACCACUGGCUUGCUGAAGAUAGAAAGCUCUGGCAGAGUCGUGCUUCUAGGUCAGAACCAAACAACUGUUUGGUCAAUUAAUUCCACAGAAGCAGCUCAGAAUCCGAUUCUGCAGCUCCUGGAUUCAGGCAAUCUUGUUGUCAGAGAUGGAAAAGAUGGUGAUUCAGAGAACUACUUGUGGCAAAGCUUUGAUUAUCCAACUGAUACAAUGUUAGCAGGGAUGAAGAUUGGUUGGGACCUGAGAACUGGUUUAAAUCGAAGACUAUCAGCAUGGAAGAACUCAGAUGAUCCAUCUCCUGGGGACCUUACUUAUGGGGUAGAACUCCAAGGCAAUCCACAGAUGGUGCUGCGGAAAGGCUCAGAAAAGUACUAUCGCAGUGGCCUAUGGAAUGGCAAUGGGUUUAGUGGUGUACCAAAUUUAAGAUCAAAUCCGGUCUUUGAUUACGACUUUGUCUGGAAUAAGGAGGAGGUGUACUACAUAUUUUACCUGAAAAAUAAAUCGGUGAUGUCAAGGUUUGUUUUGAACCAAACUGAAAAGGUAAGACAGCGGUACACAUGGAACCCAGAAACUCAGACUUGGAAGUUGUUUUCAAUCAUGCCAAGUGACUAUUGUGACACACCUGGACUUUGUGGUGCAAAUGGGAACUGCGACAAUUCCAAGCUUCCAGCUUGCCAAUGUUUGAAAGCAUUCAGGCCUAAAUCGCUGGAAAGAUGGAACUCCUCAGACUGGUCUGAAGGGUGUAUACACAAUAAGCCAUUAAACUGUCAAAGGGGAGAUGGAUUUAUUAGAAUUGAGAGGGUGAAAACGCCAGAUACCUCACAUUCUUGGGUGAACAAAAGCAUGAAUCUUAAGGAAUGUAGGGCUAGGUGCUUGCAGAACUGUUCAUGUAUGGCAUACACUAAUUUAGAUAUUAGAGGAGGAGGUAGCGGCUGCGCCAUGUGGUUUGAUGAUCUAAUUGAUAUUAAACAAUUCCAAUCAUUUGGCCAAGAUCUUUACAUCAGAGUGUCUGCUUCAGAAGCAGGUAUCAGUUUAAAAUCGGAACAUAUUCUUGUUAAAGCUUGUGAUAAUUUCUUUUGGAAAUUGUUUAAUUAUAUUUGUGCUCCUUCAACAAUAUUGAUCAUGCAGAACUGAAAAACAAGUCUGAGGCGAAGCUGGCCAUGAUAAUUGCAACGCCAAUUGCUGUGUUCUUGGGGCUUCUUGUAGUCAUAUAUUACAUCCGGAGAAGGAGGAGAAAAUUAGAAGGUAAUAUCAACCAUGGUCCUCAUAAAGCAGGGGAAAGUUGGUAUUUGCUAUCAAAAUCAAUUUCGCCAACAGCAGCGCUAUCAAAUCCCUGCCCUGUUUUCAAGAAAACAGUAAUACUGAAAUUUGCCAUUUCAUUAUAUUCCUUAUCAAAUUUGAUAAUAGAUGGUUUUUAAUUUUGUUUUAUGAUCUGACAAAAAAGAGAGUCCAUGAACAAUUGGUUGGAUACUUUUGGUUUUGGUGUUCAGAAGAAGCAUACAGCUUUUGUUCUUCUCUCUAAAUCUAUCAAUAUGCAUAAGAAAGCCCAUUUCUAUGUUGAAUGCUAGCCUAUUUUGACUACUGUUUCAGAUGAAGUUGAAGAAAGGAUUGAAAAUGACCAAAAGAACCAAGGCCGGAGUGAAGAUAUGGACCUUGCUGUAUUCGAGCUUGGUACGAUAGCCAGAGCUACAGAUAGUUUUUCUUUUCAUAACAAGCUAGGUGAAGGAGGUUUUGGACCUGUUUAUAAGGUAAAGUUGACAGCAUAUUACUACAAUGAUCUCAAUUACAGAGAAUUCAUCUUCCUUGAAAGCUCAUCAAAAUGUUCUUAUUCUCCAGGGGACACUUGCAAAUGGACAAGAAAUUGCUGUGAAAAGACUUUCAAAGAGUUCCGGACAAGGAUUGAACGAGUUUAAAACUGAAGUAAAGUUGAUUGCCAAACUUCAGCAUCGGAAUCUUGUAAGGCUUCUUGGGUGCUGCAUUCAUGGAGAGGAGAAAAUGCUGGUUUAUGAAUACAUGCCUAACAGAAGUCUUGACUCAUUUAUUUUUGGUCAGAAACCUUUCAAUUUUAUAUUGUCUGCUCUCGGCUUAUGAAAUAGUUUUCUUUUGCUGCUUCAAAGGAUCAAAUAGAUAUAGAAUUAACAUGAAUGCAGUAUUUGACAGAUCAAAGAAGAUGCAAAGUAUUAGAUUGGCCCAAGCGUUUCCAAAUUAUCUGUGGGAUUGCUAGGGGACUCCUUUACCUUCAUCAAGAUUCCAGAUUGAGGAUUAUUCAUAGAGAUCUGAAAGCUAGUAAUGUUCUACUUGAUAGUGAGAUGAACCCAAAAAUUUCAGAUUUUGGCAUGGCAAGAACUUUUGGAGGAGACCAGACUGAAGCCAAUACAAACAGAGUGGUUGGAACUUAGUAAGUCUACUUUUUCUGCAAAUUUGAUCUAUAGAUCCCCAUGAAAAUGCAUACUUUUAUCUGACAAUGUCCUGCAGUGGUUAUAUGGCACCAGAAUAUGCUAUCGAUGGCCUGUUUUCGGUAAAAUCAGAUGUGUUUAGCUUUGGCAUAUUGUUGUUGGAGAUAAUAAGUGGAAGAAAGAAUAGAGGAUUCUAUCAUAAAAAUCAAAGCGGCAACCUUAUUGAACAUGUAAGCCUCAUUGUCAUUAUUUUUUAUUACAUAUCUUGAAUUGAUGAAUGAUAAAAGAAUUUCUUUUUGCUGCAGGCAUGGAGAUUAUGGAAAGAAGGCAAGCCUUUGAAUCUUGCUGAUGAUUUCUUAGCAGAGACUGGCAGUCUAUCACAGGUGUUACGAUGCAUCCACAUUAGCCUUUUAUGUGUACAGCAGCAUCCUGAGGGGAGGCCAAGCAUGUCAUCCGUGGUUCUGAUGUUGGGAAGUGAGAAUGAAUUGCCUCUGCCCAAACAACCUGGUUUUUUGUUUCACAAGAGUCCAUUUGAAGCAGAUUCUUCAUCCGGUAACCAUGGAUCAUCUUCGAAAAACGAAAUAAGUUUAUCAGUUUUAGAGGCUCGAUAGAGGGUGAUAUGCUUCAUUAAACCUAUUAUGCUCCAAACUAUCAGUAAUGAUUCCAAUCCCACUUGAUGUUCGGGGCAUGUGCUUUUGGACCAAAUGCUAGUGAGAAAUGUUUUAAAAAUCAACAUGCAAUCAAGUACAAAUAUUAGUGUUGCAUUUAUUCCGUGGAUAGGUAGAUUGAAGGACCAAACUAAAGCUUCAUACAGUUCAGAUAUAACUGAAGCUUCAUACGGUUAAGAUGUACAAAUUUCAUGCAAUCUCAUCACUUACAAGUUGCUGACUUCUCUUGUUUUCUACUGCAUUUGUGUAAGAUCAAGAGCCACCUAAUCUAGCCGGCUUGGGAACCUCAAUAUGAGUGUUAAUUAAUUAGUGUGAUAAAUGAAUCAACAAACUAGCUUCAUUGUCUCUACAUUAUUCUGUGCAUAAUCAAACCUGUGUCAUCAACAACAAGAAAAUAUCAUUCAUGACUAGGAUUCCUCAGUUCCUUUGCUUGACUCCAGAAGUGAACUUAGUACCAUGAGACUGUAACCUCUUUUUGGGGCGCAAACGAAUGAACUUCACAUACAAGAUUAGUCAAGCUAAGUAUCAAUUAGAACUUUAAUAGAGGCUACAGAUUCCAGGUUGAAAGAAGCUGGUGAGGUCUUCAACAAAGAUAUGUUGCAGUUUUAAGGCUGUACAGUUUUCAUCUUCAUCUUUGUUUGGUCGUGGUCCAACCCCUUUGCUUAUGGGGGCUUCGACAGGCGUUGGACGACACGUUGAUGAGGCUGUCAGGGCGCCUUAAAACAAAAAGAAAAGGGAGAGCGUCCUCAUUGUACGUGACUGACACCUGAUACGAGGUUGGCUUUGUCCGGUUUCAGACAGAUUUGGUGGGCCCAACACGUUGGCAACAUUAUCAAACGCGAGAGUGAUAAUAGAUUGGCAAAAUGAAGAACACAUCUCUCACGGAUCCACUUCAGUGAGAUAUGGUGAGGGUCUUACGAUUAUAAAUAUAAAAUUUUUACUAUUUAUUAGAUAUAUUUUUUGAUUUGAUAACAUGAUAUUGUAAUUUAUAAAUUUAGAGAUGUCAACUGGUAGGAUAUUCGUUAAUUUUGAGAUACUAAAAUCUGAAUUCGAUUAAAAAAUAAAAUACCCAAACUCGAUAAUUACCUGAAUUUUUUUUAAAUUUACUAUCCUAACUCAAAUCCUAAUACAUAAUCACUACCCGAUAAUUACUCGAACCCGUUUAAAAAUCUGAUUAUGUAAAAAAUUAUUAAAAUACUCUUUAUAGAUACCCAAUUACCCAAACUCAAAUCUGUACCUGUAUCUAUAUACAAUAAUAUUUUUAUUCAUAUUUUAUAUAAUUCACCAAUAAUUAAAUUUAUAAAAGCACAUAAAUAAUAAAAUUUAAAUUUAAAUAAUCAAAAACAAAUAUCUCAAAUAUCAACUUAAAUAAUUAAAAACAAAUAUUAAACUACAACUUAAACAUUACAAGUUUAAUUAACUAUGUGGGUUUAUCCAUGAAAUUAAAAAAAAUAAUUAUAUUCCAAAAUUAUUCUAAUCUUAUAAUUUCUUUUUAGGUAUAUAUUUUAUAAGUUUAUAUACACAAAAGUAUAUAUUAUAAAUAAUAAUUUUAUAAGUUAUAUUUUCUAUAAUGUUAAUACAAUAUAGCAAGUAAACAUGUUUAUAUUUAAAGUAUAUAUACAAUAGUAAUUGUAUUCUUCAUAAAUUAACACAAUAUAUAAAAUAUAUGUAUUAAAAGAUAUUACAAGUUAAUUAAUAAUCAUAGUUUUAUGAAUUAAUUUAAUUAAUAAUAUGAAUUUGUCUUGAAUUACAUAAAAUUAAAAAAAUAUAUAAUCAGAUUCGGGUAUCGGGUAUCCAAAGGGUGAUAUUUGAACCCUACCUGAACCCGAUACAUGUAUUUUAGGGUACUUUAACUUUAUACAAUCAGAUCAGGUACUCGUAAGUACCCUGUAACAGGAUACCUAUAGACAUCCCUAUAUAAACUUACUUAAAUUUAUUAUUCUUAAUUUUUUAAAUACAUUUUUAUUACCCAUAAACUGUUUAUUAAGUUUACGACUCAUAAGUAUUUACAAACUUACAAUAAUAUAAUAAUUACGGUAAAAUAAUUUUUUUUAUCAUUAAAUUAAAAGUUUUAAUGAUGCAACUUGUCUAUUUCUUUUUGAACAUUAUGAAACUCAUAAAAAUAUUAUUAUUAUCAUCAUAGUCUUAGUUGAAAAUGAUGGUCAACAUCUAAAAAAAAGUGAUUAUCUUCUAGAAAAAGAAUUGCCUCUGCCCAAACAACCUGGUUUUUGGUUUCACAAGAGUCCCUUUGAAGCAAAUUCUACAUCAGGCAACUGCAGAUCAUCUUCUAGAAACGAAAAAAGUCUAUCAAUGUUAGAGGCUCGAUAGAGAGUGGUAUGCUUCAUUAAACCUAUUAUGCUCCAAACCAUCAGUAAUGACUCCAAUCCCACUUGAUGUUUGGGGCAUGUGCUUUUAGAGCCAAUGCUAGUGAGAAAUGUUUCAGAAAUCAAACAUGCAAUCAAGUAUAAAUAGUAGUGUUUUGUUUAUUUCAUUUUGCUGCAGGCAUGGAGAUUAUGGAAAGAAGGCAAGCCUUUGAAUCUUGCUGAUGAUUUCUUAGCAGACACUGGCAGUCUAUCACAGGUGUCACGAUGCAUCCACAUUAGCCUCUUAUGUGUACAACAGCAUCCUGAGGAGAGGCCAAGCAUGUCAUCCGUGGUUCUGAUGUUGGGAAGUGAAAAUGAAUUGCCUCUGCCCAAACAACCUGGUUUUUUGUUUCACAAUAGUCCCUUUGAAGUAGAUUCUUCAUCAGGCAACUAUAAAUCAUCUUCGAAAAACGAAAUAAGUCUAUCAAUGUUAGAGGCUCGAUAGAGGGUGGUAUGCUUCAUUAAACCUAUUAUGCUCCAAUCCCACUUGAUGUUUGGGGCAUGUGCUUUUAGAGCCAAUGCUAGUGAGAAAUGUUACAGAAAUUAAACAUGCAAUGAAGUAUAAAUAGUGGUGUUUUGUUUAUUUCAUGGAUAGAUAAGAUUGAAGGGCCAAACUGAAGCUUCAUACAGUUAACAUAUACAAAUUCCAUGCAAUCUCAUCAUUUACAAGUUUUUGACUUAUCUUGUUUUCGGCUGCAUUUAUGUAAUAUCAAACGUAAGAGUGAUAAUAGAUUGGCAAAAUCAUGAACACAUCACUCAAGGUCAGGGGAGGGGGAUUUGGCAAAAUUAUGAAGUGGUACUAGCAAUUUUAGGAAUGGGCCGGCAUGCUUAAUGAGCUUGUAGUGGACUAUCAAUUUUCUAAUGGGCUUAUUGUGGAUCAAGGCAUGUUCUAAUGGGCUUCUAUUGGACAACAAAUAUUGAUUUUUUUUUAUUAUGGAGGGUUUAUUGAUGGUUUUUUUUGGAAUGGAUUUAUUUAUACAUAAUUACAUAUAUAUUGUAUUUAAGAAAACAAAUAAAAUUUUGAAUUUCCAUAUUACUUUUAUUCUUAAUCUUUUAAAUGUAUUUUUACUAUUCACAAACUAAUUAUUAUAUUUAUGACUCAUAAAUGUAUACAAACUAACAACGACAUAACAAUCACUGUAAAAUAUUUUUUAUUCAUGAUUAAAUCAAAAACUUUAAUGAUACAACUUGUCUAUUUCUUUUUCAACAUAAUGAAAGUCAUAAAAAUAUUAUCAUCAUAGUCAUAGUUGAAAAUGAUGGUCAACAUUUAAAAAAAAAAGUGAUUAUCUUUUUUUUAAUUAAAGUAAUAGUAGAAGUAGUCAUUGGCACGUGAGUAAAAUAGCAUAAUUAACUAGCAGAUGCUUCCGGCUUGAUGCUACUUUCAGCUUGAUUUUGUCAUAACAAUAAUGUUGCCUUAAUAAUUAGUAAUUAUGUCAUUCACCAUGUAUUUUUGUUGGUUUUUGAAAGUUCUCUUUAGAUUUGCUGGCAUGACUUCAAAAUUAUAUAUAAUUAAAUAAUAUAUAUAAAUAUAUAUGUAUAAUAUUGUUUUAAAGAAGAAAAAGAAAGGAAAAUGGAGUUCUAUGUGCCAAAAAAUUGAUUUUAUUUGUUGAAUCAAAUAAAAAAUAAUUAAAUGUAUAAUUGAUAAAUCGUGUAUAAAAUUUUAAAAAAGAGAGUAUAUCUAUUAAUUAGAAAUAAUAAUUGAUUAUAUAAAUAUGUGAUUAAUUUUAAUUGAUUAACUAUUUUAAAUUAAUUACAUUAAUGAAUUAACUAAUUAAUUAGUUAAUUAAAUUAAUUAACUAACUAAUUUAUUUAUAAAAUAAUUUAAAUUAAUUAAUUUAAUUCUUUAAAACUUAACUAAUUUACUAAAAAUAAAUAUUUAGUAAUUUCACAUAUUUUAAUAUAUAAAUAUUUAGUAUUUAAAUAUUAGGUUAGUUUUGUCAUGCUAUUAUUUAUUAUUUUAAGGGAUAAAGUUGAAAAAUUAAAAAUUUACAUUAAAAAAAGGUAAGUUUGAAAAUAUAAAGGGAAUUUUUUAAAUUUACAUUACAUUCUCAUACUUCCAAACCAAAGACUACCAUCUAAUCUUCCCAACAAUUAUAUUACAUGCAAUCAUCAUUUUUCUAUGAUAUAUAAAACAUUCUAAAGUUUUUUUCAUCCAUCAUAUUCCCUGCAAUUAUCAUAUUUUUAUAUUAUACAAAACGUUGCAAAGUUCUUCUCAUUCAUCAUAUUCCCUGCAAUCAUCACUUUUUCAUAUUAUAUCAAUGUUGCAAAAUUCUUCUCAUCAAUAACAUUCUCAGUAAUCAAAUUAUUAACAAUUACAUUUUCAAUAAAAUAUAUAAAAAAAAAACACGGUUUAUACUAUCAAGAACAAACUAAUUAACAUGAAAAUAGGGGAAAUUGACACGAAGUCAAUUCCAUCGGACCCUUAGGACUUGUGAUUGCAAUUUUUUGUAAAUUCAGCCUAAAAGUAUAGGAAGACUUGACUUUUUGGUAAUCAUGUCGACUUCAUAAUGGUUAUUGAGAAGAAAAAAUCUCCCUGACGUACGUUUUUUUUAAGUCUAGAGAUGCAUGUUUACUUAAUUACUUGCACGUUGAGUGGUCUUGGUUUAAGUCAUAGUCUUACGGUCUAGUAGUGUACAAUGAAAUUAAUUUUAGAGGUUACUUUAUGAUAAAACCUAAGUGUAAAGUUCCCUGAUUUUUUUGUGUAACAAAGAAUUUUAGCAUCUUCGGUUUACUGAAACAGUUGGGAGCUCUACAUUAAGCUAGGGCGGACAAGAAUAUUCUGUUUCAUGGUUUUUUAAACUUUAAGUUACUUAACUGCAACUUAUUUCAGUUCCUAUUUCUCAAUAAUCUUAACUUCACAGCCAUCAUGUUAGUUAAAGAUAUUUCCAUCUCCAGGAAGAAGUUGAGGCCUAUAGAAUAGUUGUCGUCUCUGUCACGAUUGAUGAAGAAUUUCAAGGUCAAUGGACCCAAAGUCUUGCCUUGAAGCCUGAAGGUCAAUGCUGUUUAGAAUGUUCAAUCAAAUGGCAUCUAUUCUUAUCUUCAAAGCAAAAAGCUUUCAGACUAUACAUCCAUGGACAUGGAUAUCCUUUCUUUCAGUGCUUGUUUCCUCAUCAUCUUCACCAAAGCUUCCAGCGCACCCGACAGGAUUUCUCCGUCUGAGUCACUCACUGAUGGCACGACCUUGGUCUCUAGUGAUGGAAGCUUUGUAUUGGGUUUCUUCACUCCGGGGAGUUCUAAGAAUCGUUACUUGGGAAUUUGGUACAAUAACAUCCCCAUGCAAACUGUUGUAUGGGUUGCAAACAGGAUAAAUCCGAUAAAUGACACCACUGGCUUGCUGCAGAUAGAAAGCACUGGCAGAGUCGUGCUUCUAGGUCAGAACCAAACAACUGUUUGGUCAAUUAAUUCCACAGAAGCAGCUCAGAAUCCGAUUCUGCAGCUCCUGGAUUCAGGCAAUCUUGUUGUCAGAAAUGGAAAAGAUGGUGAUUCAGAGAACUACUUGUGGCAAAGCUUUGAUUAUCCAACUGAUACAAUGUUACCGGCGAUGAAGAUUGGUUGGGACCUGAGAACUAAUUUAAAUCGAAGACUAGCAGCAUGGAAGAACUCAGAUGAUCCAUCUCCUGGGGACCUUACUUAUGGGGUGGAACUCCAAGGCAAUCCAGAGGUGGUGCUGCGGAAAGGCUCAGAAAAGUACCAUCGCAGUGGCCUCUGGAAUGGCGAUGGAUUUAGUGGUGCACAAAAUUUAAGAUCAAAUCCGGUCUAUGAGUACGACUUUGUCUGGAAUGAGGAGGAGGUGUACUACAUAAAUUACCUCAAAAAUAAAUCGGUGAUGUCAAGGUUAGUUUUGAACCAAACUGAAAAGGUUAGACAGCGGUACACAUGGAACCCAGAAACUCAAACUUGGAUGUUGAUUUCCAUCAUGCCAAGUGACUGUUGUGACAUACUUGGACUUUGUGGUGCAAAUGGGAACUGCGAUAAUUCCACGCUUCCAGCUUGCCAAUGUUUGAAAGCAUUCAGGCCUAAAUCGCUGGAAAGAUGGAACUCCUUAGACUGGUCUGAAGGGUGUAUACACAAUAAGCCAUUAAACUGCCAAAGCGGAGAUGGAUUUAUUAGAAUUGAGAGGGUGAAAACGCCAGAUACCUCACAUUCUUGGGUGAGCAAAAGUAUGAAUCUCGAGGAAUGCAGGGCUAAGUGCUUGCAGAACUGUUCUUGUAUGGCAUACACUAAUUUAGAUAUUAGAGGAGGAGGUAGCGGCUGCGCCAUGUGGUUUGGUGAUCUAAUUGAUAUUAAACAAUUUCAAUCAUUUGGCCAGGAUCUUUACAUCAGAGUCUCUGCUUCAGAAGCAGGUAUCAGUUUAAAAUCGGAACAUUUUCUUGUUACAGCUUGUGAUAAUUUCUUUUGGAAAUUGUUUAAUUAUACUUGGGCUCCUUCAUCAAUAAUGAUCAUGCAGAACUGAAAAACAAGGCUAAGGCGAAGCUGGCCGUGAUAAUUGCAACACCAAUUGCUAUGUUCUUGGGGCUUCUUGUAGUCAUUUAUUACAUCCGGAGAAGGAGAAGAAAAUUAGAAGGUAAUAUCAACUAUGGUCCUCAUUAAAGCAGGGGAAAGUUGGUAUUUGAUACAAAUACCAAAAUCGUUUCUGCUCACAGCACCGCUAUCAGAUCCCUGCCCUGUUUUCAAGAAAACAGUAAUACUAAAAUUUGUCAUUUCUCUUAUCAAAUUUGAUAAUACAUGGUUUUCAAUUUUGUUUUAUGAUCUGACAAAAAAGUGAGUCCAUGAACAAUUGGUUCGAUAUUUUUGGUUUUGGUGUUCAGAAGAAGCAUACAGCUUUUGUCUAUCUAAAUCUAUCAAUAUGCAUGAGAAAGCGUAUCUCUGUGUUGAAUGCUAGCCUAUUUUGACUACUGUUUCAGAUGAAGUUAAAGAAAGGAUUUUAAAUGAUCAAAAGAACCAAGGCCAGAGUGAAGAUAUGGAGCUUGCUGUAUUCGAGCUAGCUACGAUAGCCAGAGCUACUGGUAGUUUUUCUUUUAAUAACAAGCUAGGUGAAGGAGGUUUUGGACCUGUUUAUAAGGUAAAAGUAAGCACAUAUUACUAAAGUGAUCUCAAGCACGGAGAAUUCAUCUUUAUUGAAAGCUCAUCAAAAUAUUCCUAGUCUCCAGGGGACACUUGCAAAUGGACAAGAAAUUGCUGUGAAAAGACUUUCAAAGAGUUCCGGACAAGGAUUGAACGAGUUUAAAACUGAAGUAAAGUUGAUUGCCAAACUUCAGCAUCGGAAUCUUGUAAGGCUUCUUGGGUGCUGCAUUCAUGGAGAGGAGAAAAUGCUGGUUUAUGAAUACAUGCCUAACAGAAGUCUUGACUCAUUUAUUUUUGGUCAGAAACCUUUCAAUUUUAUAUUGUCUGCUCUCGGCUUGUGAAAUAGUUUUCUUUUGCUGCUUCAAAGGAUCAAAUAGAUAUAGAAUUAACAUGAAGGCAGUACUUGACAGAUCAAAGAAGGUGCAAAGUAUUAGAUUGGCCCAAGCGUUUCCAAAUUAUCUGUGGGAUUGCUAGGGGACUACUCUACCUUCAUCAAGAUUCCAGAUUGAGGAUUAUUCAUAGAGAUCUAAAAGCUAGUAAUGUUUUGCUUGAUAGUGAGAUGAACCCAAAAAUUUCAGAUUUUGGCAUGGCAAGACUUUUGGAGGAGACCAGACUGAAGCCAAUACCAACAGAGUGGUUGGAACUUAGUAAGUCUACUUUUUCUGCAAAUUUGAUCUAUAAAUGCCCAUGAAACUCUUAUCUGACAAUGUUUUGCAGUGGUUAUAUGGCACCAGAAUAUGCUAUCGAUGGGCUGUUUUCGGUAAAAUCAGAUGUGUUUAGCUUUGGCAUAUUGUUGUUGGAGAUAAUAAGUGGAAGAAAGAAUAGAGGAUUAUAUCAUCAAAAUCAAAAUGGCAACCUUAUUGAACAUGUAAGCCUGAUUGUCAUUAUCUUUUAUUACAUAUUUUGAACCGAUGAAUGAUAAAAGAAUUUCAUUUUGCUGCAGGCAUGGAGAUUAUGGAAAGAAGGCAGGCCUUUGGAUCUUGUUGAUGAGUUCUUAGCAGAGACCGGCAGUCUAUCACAGGUGUUACGAUGCAUCCACAUUAGCCUUUUUUGUGUACAACAACAUCCUAAGGAGAGGCCAAGCAUGUCAUCCGUGGUUCUGAUGUUGGGAAGUGAAAAUGAAUUGCCUCUGCCCAAACAACCUGGUUUUUGGUUUCACAAGAGUCCCUUUGAAGCAGAUUCUACAUCAGGCAACUACAAAUCAUCUUCUAGAAACGAAAUAAGUCUAUCAAUGUUAGAGGCUCGAUAGAGGGUGGUAUGCUUCAUUAAACCUAUUAUGCUCCAAACCAUCAGCAAUGACUCCAAUCCCACUUGAUGUUUGGGGCAUGUGCUUUUAGAGCCACUGCUAGUGAGAAAUGUUUCAGAAAUCAAACAUGCAAUUAAGCAUAAAUAGUAGUGUUUUGUUUAUUUCAUGGAUAGAUAGAUUGAAGGGCCGAACUGAAGCUUCAUACGGUUAACAUAUACAAAUUCCAUGCAAUCUCAUCAUUUACAAGUUUUUAAUUUAUCUUGUUUUCUGCUGCAUUUAUGUAAUAUCAAGGGCCAGCUAACCUUGUCAACUUGAAAAAUGAUAAUAUUAAUGCAUGAUGAGCCCAUCUUUGCCCUUAAUAUACCAAGUGAGAUAAAUGAAUCAACAAACUAACAUCAUUGUCUCGAUAUCAUUUUGUGCAUAAUCAAACAUUUGUUAUCAACAACAAAAAAAGAUCAUUCAUAAUUCAGGGAUUGCUCAGGUCCUUUUGCUUAAAUCCAGAAGCGGCUUAGUACUAUGAGACUGUAACCUCUUUUUGGGGCACAAAGGAAUGGACUUCACAAGAUUGGUCAAGCUAACUAGCAACUAGAUCUUUAACAGAGGCUAGGGAUUCCAAGGCUAUAGAGUUUCAUCUUCAUCUUUGUUUCAUCGUAGUCCAACUCUUUGGUUAUAGGGGCUUCAAAGGCGUUGGAAGACGUAACGAUCAGGCUGUCAGGGCUUCGCAAAACAAAAAGAAAAGGGAAGAGCACGUUGAUUGUACGUGACUGACAGGUGAUACGAGGUUGGCUUUGCCCUGUUCCAGACAAAGAUUUGGUGGGCCCAACACGUUGGCAAUAAUAUCAAACCUAAGAGUGAUAAUAGAUUGGCAAAACCAUGAACACAUCACUCAUCGCUCAGGGGAGGGGGAUUUGGAAAAAAUUAUGAAGUGGUACCAGCAAUUUUAGGCAUGGGCCGACAUGCUUAAUGGGCUUGUAGUGGACUAGCAAUUUUCUAAUGGGCUUAUUGUGGAUCAAGGACUGUUCUAAUGGGCUUCUAUUGGACAACAAAUGUUGGUUUUUUUUUUGGAAUGGAUUUAUUUAUACAUAAUUACAUAUAUAUUGUAUUUAAGAAAACAAAUGAAAUUUUGAAUUUCCACAUUACUUUUAUUCAUAAUUUUUUAAAUACAUUUUUACUAUCGCAAACCGUUUAUUAUGUUCACUACUCAUAAAUAUAUACAAACUUACAACGACAUAAUAAUUAUUGUAAAACAUUUUUUAUUCAUGAUUAAAUCAAAAUUUUAAUGAUACAGCUUGUCUAUUUCUUUUUCAACAUAAUGAAACUCAUAAAAAUAUUAUUAUUAUUAUCAUCAUAGUCAUAGUUGAAAAUGCUGGUCAACAUUUCAAAAAAAAAGUGAUUAUCUUUUUGUUAAUUAAAGUAAUAGUAAAAUAUCAAGAAACACGGUUUAUCCUAUUAAGAACAAACUAAUUAACAUGAAAAUAGGAAAAAUUCACACGAAGUCAACCCUAUCGGACCCUUGGAAUUUUGAUUGCAAUUUCUUGUAAAUUCAGCCUAAAAGUAUAGGAAGACUUGACUUUUUGAUAAUCAUGUCGACUUCAUAAUAGUUAUUGAGAAGAAAAGAUCUCCAUGAGGGACGUUUUUUUUAAGUCUAGAGAUGCAUGUUUACUUAAUUACUUGCACGUUGAGUGGUCUUGGUUUAAUUACUUAAUUACAGUCUAGUAGUGUACAAUGAAAUUAUUUUUAGGGGUUACUUUAUGAUAAAAUCAAGUGUAAAGUUCCCUGAUUUUUUUGUGUAACAAAGAAUUUUAGCAUCUUUAGUUUACUGAAACAGUUGGGAGCUCUACAUUAAGCUAGGGCAGACAAGAAUAUUCUGUUUCAUGGUUUUUUAAACUUAACUGCAACUUAUUUCAGUUCCUAUGUCUCAAUAAUCUUAACUUCACAGCCAUCAUGUUAGUUAAAGAUAUUGCUAUCUCCAAGAAGAAGUUGUGGCCUAUAGAAUAGUUGUAGUCUCUGUCACGAUUGAUGAAGAAUUCCAAGGUCAGUGGACCCAAAGUCUUGCCUUAAAGCCUGAAGGUCAAUACUGUUUAGAAUGUUCAAUCAAAUGGCAUCUAUUCUUAUCUUCAAAGCAAAUAGCUUUCAGACCAUACAUCCAUGGACAUGGAUAUCCUUUCUUUCAGUGCUUGUUUCCUCAUCAUCUUCUCCAAAGCUUCCAGCGCACUCGACAAGAUUUCUCCGUCUGAGUCACUCACUGAUGGCACGACCUUGGUCUCUAGUGAUGGAAGCUUUGUAUUGGGUUUCUUCACUCCGGGGAGUUCCAAGAAUCGUUACUUGGGAAUUUGGUACAAUAACAUCCCCAUGCAAACUGUUGUAUGGGUUGCAAACAGGAUAAAUCCGAUAAAUGACACCACUGGCUUGCCGCAGAUAGAAAGCACUGGCAGAGUCGUGCUUCUAGGUCAGAACCAAACAACUGUUUGGUCAAUUAAUUCCACAGAAGCAGCUCAGAAUCCGAUUCUGCAGCUCCUGGAUUCAGGCAGUCUUGUUGGCAGAGAUGGAAAAGAUGGUGAUUCAGAGAACUACUUGUGGCAAAGCUUUGAUUAUCCAACUGAUACAAUGUUACCAGGGAUGAAGAUUGGUUGGGACCUGAUAACUAAUUUAAAUCGAAGAUUAGCAGCAUGGAAGAACUCAGAUGAUCCAUCUCCUGGGGACCAUACUUAUGUGGUGGAACUCCAAGGCAAUCCAGAGGUGGUGCUGCGGAAAGGCUCAGAAAAGUACCAUCACAGUGGCCUAUGGAAUGGCGAUGGAUUUAGUGGUGCACAAAAUUUAAGAUCAAAUCCGGUCUAUGAGUACGACUUUGUCUGGAAUGAGGAGGAGGUGUACUACGUAAAUUACCUCAAAAAUAAAUCGGUGAUGUCAAGGUUUGUUUUGAACCAAACUGAAAAGGUAAGACAGCGGUACACAUGGAACCCAGAAACUCUAACUUGGAUGUUAAUUUCAAACAUGCCAAGUGACUGUUGUGACAUACUUGGACUUUGUGGUGCAAAUGGGAACUGCGAUAAUUCCACGCUUCCAGCUUGCCAAUGUUUGAAAGCAUUCAGGCCUAAAUCGCUGGAAAGAUGGAACUCCUUAGACUGGUCUGAAGGGUGUAUACACAAUAAGCCAUUAAACUGCCAAAGCGGAGAUGGAUUUAUUAGAAUUGAGAGGGUGAAAACGCCAGAUACCUCACAUUCUUGGGUGAGCAAAAGUAUGAAUCUCGAGGAAUGCAGGGCUAAGUGCUUGCAGAACUGUUCUUGUAUGGCAUACACUAAUUUAGAUAUUAGAGGAGGAGGUAGCGGCUGCGCCAUGUGAUUUGGUGAUCUAAUUGAUAUUAAACAAUUUCAAUCAGAUGGCCAGGAUCUUUACAUCAGAGUCUCUGCUUCAGAAGCAGGUAUCAGUUUAAAAUCAGAACAUAUUCUUGUUACAGCUUGUGAUAAUUUCUUUUGGAAAUUGUUUAAUUAUAUUUGGGCUCCUUCAUCAAUAAUGAUCAUGCAGAACUGAAAAACAAGGCUAAGGCGAAGCUGGCCGUGAUAAUUGCAACACCAAUUGCUAUGUUCUUGGGGCUUCUUGUAGUCAUUUAUUACAUCCGGAGAAGGAGGAGAAAAUUAGAAGGUAAUAUCAACUAUGGUCCUCAUAAAGCAGGGGAAAGUUGGUAUUUGAUACAAAUACCAAAAUCGUUUUUGCUCACAGCAUCGCUAUCAAAUCCCUGCCCUGUUUUCAAGAAAACAGUAAUACUAAAAUUUGUCAUUUCACUUAUCAAAUUUGAUAAUAGAUGGUUUUCAAUUUUGUUUUAUGAUCUGACAAAAAGUGAGUCCAUGAACAAUUGGUUCGAUAUUUUUGGUUUUGGUGUUCAGAAGAAGCAUACAGCUUUUGUUCUUCUAACUAAAUCUCUCAAUAUGAUUAAGAAAGCGUAUUUCUAUGUUGAAUGCUAGCCUAUUUUGACUACUGUUUCAGAUGAAGUUGAAAAAAGGAUUGAAAAUGAUCAAAAGAACCAAGGCCAGAGUACAGAUAUGGAACUUGCCGUAUUCGAGCUAGGUACGAUAGCCAGAGCUACUGAUAGUUUUUCUUUUAAUAACAAGCUAGGUGAAGGAGGUUUUGGACCUGUUUAUAAGGUAAAAGUGACAACAUAUUACUACAAUGAUCUCAAUUGCAGAGAAUUCAUCUUUAUUGAAAGCUCAUCAAAAUAUUCUUAUUCUCCAGGGGACACUUGCAAUUGGACAAGAAAUUGCUGUGAAAAGACUUUCCAAGAGUUCCGGACAAGGAUUGAACGAGUUUAAAACUGAAGUAAAGUUGAUUGCCAAACUUCAGCAUCGGAAUCUUGUAAGGCUUCUUGGGUGCUGCAUUCAUGGAGGGGAGACAAUGCUGGUUUAUGAAUAUAUGCCUAACAGAAGUCUUGACUCAUUUAUUUUUGUCGGUAACCUUUCAAUUUUAUAUCUUCUGCUCUCGGCUUGUGAAAUAAUUUUCUUUUGCUGCUUCAAAAGAUCAAAUAGAUACAGUAUUAAUAUGAAUGCAGUACUUGACAGAUCAAAGAAGGUGCAAAGUAUUAGAUUGGCCCAAGCGUUUCCAAAUUAUCUGUGGGAUUGCUAGGGGACUCCUUUACCUUCAUCAAGAUUCCAGAUUGAGGAUUAUUCAUAGAGAUCUAAAAGCUAAUAAUAUUUUGCUUGAUAGUGAGAUGAACCCAAAAAUUUCAGAUUUUGGCAUGGCAAGAACUUUUGAAGGAGACCAGACUGAAGCCAAUACCAACAGAGUGGUUGGAACUUAGUAAGUCUACUUUUUCUGCAAAUUUGAUCUAUAAAUGCCCAUGAAACUCUUAUCUGACAAUGUUCUGCAGCGGUUAUAUGGCACCAGAAUAUGCUAUCGAUGGGCUGUUUUCCGUAAAAUCAGAUGUGUUUAGCUUUGGCAUAUUGUUGUUGGAGAUAAUAAGUGGAAGAAAGAAUAGAGGAUUCUAUCAUCAAAAUCAAAGCGGCAACCUUAUUGAACAUGUAAGCCUCAUUGUCAUUAUCUUUUAUUACAUAUCUUGAACUGAUGAAUGAUAAUUGCAUAUAUGUUGUAUUUAAUAAAACAAAUGAAAUUUUAAAUUUUCAUAUUACUUUAUUUUUAAAUUUUUUAAAAACAUUUACACUCUUCGUGAACUGUUUAUUAUAUUCACAACUCAUAAAUAUACACAAACUUAUAACGACAUAAUAAUUACGAUAAAAUAUUUUUUUAUUUAUCAUUAAAUCAAGAGUUUUAAUGAUACAACUCGUCUAUUUUCUUUUUCAACAUAAUGAAAACUCAUAAAAAUAUUAUUAUCUUUUUAUUAAUUAAAGUAGUAGUAGUAGGAGUAGCAUGGUACUCAUUGGCAUGUGAGCGGACGCAUUGGAGAAAAUAGCAUAAUCAAAUAAUCGAUAGUUCCUCCUGCUUGAUACUACUUUCAGCUUGAUUUUGUCAUGACAAUAAUGUUGUCUUAAUAAUAAGUAAUUAUGUCAUUCACCAUGUAUUUUUGUUGGUUUUUGGAAGUUCUCUUUAGGUUUGCUAACAUGACUGCAAAAUUAUACAUAACUAAAUAAUAUAUAUGUAUAGUAUUAUUUUUAAAAAGAAAAAAAAAGGAAAAUUGAGUUCUAUGUGCCAAAAAAAUUGAUUUUAUUUGUUGAAUAAAAUAAAAAAUAAUUAAAUAUAUAAUUAAUAAACCAUAUAUAAUUUUUUUUUAAAAAGCAUAUCUAUUAAUUAGAAAUGAUAAUUAAUUAUAUAAAUAUGUGAUUAAUAUUAAUUGAUUAACUAUUUUAAAUUAAUUACUUUAAUGAAUUAACUAAUUAAUUAAUUAACUACUUUAUUUGUAAAAUAAUUUCAAUUAAUUAAUUUAAUUCUUUAAAACUUAACUAAUUUACUAAAAAUAAAUAUUUAGUAAUUUCACAUAUUUUAAUAUAUAAAUAUUCAAUAUUCAAAUAUUAUGUUAUUUUUGUCAAGCUAUUAUUUAUUAUUUUAAGGGAUAAAGUUGAAAAAUUAAAAAUUUAUAUUAAAAAAAGAAGGUAAAUUUGAAAAUAUAAAGGUCAUUUUGUAAUACUGGGUCAGUUCUAUCGGACCCUUAGGACAUGUGAUUGCAAUUUCUUGUAAAUUCAGUUUAAAAGUCUAGAAAAGACUUAGACUUUUUGGCAUUCAUGUUGACUUUAAUUACUUGUAAAUCUCCAUGACGUACGUUUUUUCCAAGUCUAGAGAUGCAUGUUUACUUAAUUACUAGCACUUUGAGUGCUCUUGGUUUAAGUCAUACUCUUACGGUCUAGUAGUGUACGAGGCAAUUAAUUUUAGAGGUUACUUUACGAUAAAAUCAAGUGUAAAGUUCCCUGAUUUUUUGUGUAACCAAGAAUUUUAACAUCUUGGGUUUACUGAAACAGUUGGGAGCUCUACAUUGAGCGAGGGCAGACAAUAAUAUUCUGUUUCAUAGUUUUUUAAACUUAACUGCAACUUAUUUCAGUUCCUAUUUCUCAAUAAUCUUAACUUGACAGCCAUCAUGUUAGUUAAAAGAUAUUUCUAUCUCCAGGAAGAAGUUGAGGCCUAUAGAAGAGUUGUAGUCUCUGUCACGAUUGAUUAAUAAUUCCAAGGUCAAUGGAGCCAAAGUCUUGCCUUGAAGCCUGAAGAUCAAUGCUGUUUACAAUGUUCAAUCAAAUGGCAUCUCUUCUUAUCUUCCAAGCAAAAAGCUUUCAGACCAUACAUCCAUGGGCAUGGAUAUCCUUUCUUUCAGUGCUUGUUUCCUCAUCAUCUUCUCCAAAGCUUCCAACGCACUCGACAAGAUUUCUCCGUCUGAGUCACUCACUGAUGGCACGACCUUGGUCUCUAGUGAUGGAAGCUUUGUAUUGGGUUUCUUCACUCCGGGGAGUUCCAAGAAUCGUUACUUGGGAAUUUGGUACAAUAACAUCCCCAUGCAAACUGUUGUAUGGGUUGCAAACAGGAUAAAUCCGAUAAAGGACACCACUGGCUUGCUCAAGAUAGAAACCAAUGGCACAGUCGUGCUUCUAGGUCAGAACCAAACAACUGUUUGGUCAAUUAAUUCCACAGAAGCAGCUCAGAAUCCGAUUCUGCAGCUCCUGGAUUCAGGCAAUCUUGUUGUCAGAGAUGGAAAAGACGGUGAUUCAGAGAACUACUUGUGGCAAAGCUUUGAUUAUCCAACAGAUACAAUGUUAGCAGGGAUGAAGAUUGGUUGGGACCUGAGAACUGGUUUAAAUCGAAGACUAGCAGCAUGGAAGAACUCAGAUGAUCCAUCUCCUGGGGACCUUACUUAUGGGGUAGAACUCCAAGGCAAUCCAGAGAUGGUGCUGCGGAAAGGCUCAGAAAAGUACUAUCGCAGUGGACUAUGGAAUGGCAAUGGAUUUAGUGGUAACCCAAGUUUAAGAUCAAAUCCGGUCUAUGAUUUCGACUUUGUUUGGAAUGAGGAGGAGGUGUACUACAUAAAUUACCCAAAAAAUAAAUCCGUGAUGUUAAGGGUUGUUUUGAACCAAACUGAAAACCUAAGACAGCGGUACACAUGGAACCCAGAAAUUCAAACUUGGAAGUUGUUUCUCUUCCAACCAAGUGACUAUUGUGACAGACUUGGACUUUGUGGUGCAAAUGGGAACUGCGAUAAUUCCAAGCUUCCAGCUUGCCAAUGCUUGAAAGCAUUCAGGCCUAAAUCGCUGGAAAAAUGGAACUCUUCAGACUGGUCUGAUGGGUGUGUACACAAUAAGCCAUUAAACUGCCAAAGCGGAGAUGGAUUUAUUAGAAUUCAGAGGGUGAAAACGCCAGAUACCUCACAUUCUUGGGUGAACAAAAGCAUGAACCUCAAGGAAUGUAGGGCUAGGUGCUUGCAGAACUGUUCAUGUAUGGCAUACACUAAUUUAGAUAUUAGAGGAAAAGGUAGCGGCUGCGCCAUGUGGUUUGAUGAUCUAAUUGAUAUUAAACAAUUCCAAUCAUUUGGCCAAGAUCUUUACAUCAGAGUGUCUGCUUCAGAAGCAGGUAUCAGUUUAAAAUCGGAACAUAUUCUUGUUGCAGCUUGUGAUAAUUUCUUUUGGAAAUUGUUUAAUUAUAUUUGUGCUCCUUCAUCAAUAUUGAUCAUGCAGAACAGAAAAACAAGCCUAAGGCGAAGCUGGCCAUGAUAAUUGCAACACCAAUUGCUAUGUUCUUUGGGCUUCUUGUAGUCAUUUAUUACAUCAGGAGAAGAAGGAGAAAAUUAGAAGGUAACAUCGACUAUGGUCCUCAUAAAGCAGGGGAAAGUUGGUAUUUGAUACCAAUACCGAAAUCAUUUUUGCUCACAGCAGCGCUAUCAAAUCCCUGCCCUGUUUUCAAGAAAACAGUAAUUUUGAAAUUUGCCAUUUCACUUAUAUUCCCUAUCAAAUAUGAUAAUAGAUGGUUUUCAAUUUUGUUUUUUGAUCUGACAAAAGAGGGAGUCCACGAACAAUCGGUUGGAUAUUUUUGUUUUAGUGUUCAGAAGAAGCAUACAGCCUUUUUUCUUCUAUCUAAAUCUAUCAAUAUGCAUAAGAAAGCAUAUUUCUAUGUUGAAUGCUAGCCUAUUUUGACUACUGUUUCAGAUGAAGCUGAAGAAAGGGAUGAAAUGGAUCACAUGAACCAAGGCCAGAGUGAAGAUAUGGAGCUUGCUGUAUUCGAGCUAGGUACGAUGGCCAGAGCUACUGAUAAUUUUUGUUUUGAUAACAAGCUAGGUGAAGGAGGUUUUGGACCUGUUUAUAAGGUAAAGUUGACAGCAUAUUACUGAAGUGAUCUCAAGUACAGAGAAUUCAUAUUUAUUGAAAGCUCAUCUAAAUGUUCUUAUUCUCCAGGGGACACUUGCAAAUGGACAAGAAAUUGCUGUGAAAAGACUUUCAAAGAGUUCCGGACAAGGAUUGAACGAGUUUAAAACUGAGGUAAAGUUGAUUGCCAAACUUCAGCAUCGGAAUCUUGUAAGGCUUCUUGGGUGCUGCAUUCAUGGAGAGGAGAAAAUGCUGGUUUAUGAAUACAUGCCUAACGGAAGUCUUGACUCAUUUAUUUUUGGUCAGCAACCUUUCAAUUCUAUAUUUUCUGCUCUCGGCUUGUGAAAUAGUUUUAUUUUGCUGCUUCAAAAGGUCAAAUAGAUACAGAAUUAACAUGAAUGCAGUAUUUGACAGAUCAAAAAAGAUGCAAAGUAUUAGAUUGGCCCAAGCGUUUCCAAAUUAUCUGUGGGAUUGCUAGGGGACUACUCGACCUUCAUCAAGAUUCCAGAUUGAGGAUUAUUCAUAGAGAUCUAAAAGCUAGUAAUGUUUUGCUUGAUGGUGAGAUGAACCCAAAAAUUUCAGAUUUUGGCAUGGCAAGAACUUUUGGAGGAGACCAGACUGAAGCCAACACAAACAGAGUGGUUGGAACUUAGUAAGUCUACUUUUUCUGCAAAUUUGAUCUAUAGAUCCCCAUGAAAAUGCAUACUUUUAUCUGACAAUAUCCUGCAGUGGCUAUAUGGCACCAGAAUAUGCUAUCGAUGGCCUGUUUUCAGUAAAAUGAGAUGUGUUUAGCUUUGGCAUAUUGUUGUUGGAGAUAAUAAGUGGAAGAAAGAAUAGAGGAUUCUAUCAUCAAAAUCAAAGCGGUAACCUUAUUGAACAUGCAAGCCUCUUUGUCAUUAUCUUUUGUUACUUGUCUUCAACUGACAAAUGAUAAAAGAAUUUCAUUUUGCUGCAGGCAUGGAGAUUAUGGAAACAAGGCAGGCCGUUGGAUCUUGCUGAUGAUUUCUUAGCAGAGAUUAGCAAUCUGUCGCAGGUGUUACGAUGCAUCCACAUUAGCCUUUUAUGUGUACAACAGCAUCCUGAGGGGAGGCCAAGCGUGUCAUCGGUGGUUCUGAUGUUGGGAAGUGAGAAUGAAUUGCCUCUGCCUAAACAACCUGGUUUUUUGUCUCACAAGAGUCCUUUUGAAGCAGAUUCUUCAUCCGGUAACGAUGGAUCAUCUUCGAGAAACGAAAUAAGUUUUAUCACUUUUCGAGGCUCGAUAGAGGGUGAUAUGCUUCAUUAAACCUAUUAUGCUCCAAACUAUCAGUAAUGAUUCCAAUCCCACCUGAUGUUUGGGGCGUGUGCCUUUAGAUCAAAUACUAGUGAGAAAUGUUUCAGAAAUCAACGUGCAAUCAAGUACAAAUAGUAGUGUUGUAUUAUUCCAUGGAUAGAUUGAUUGAAUGACCAAACUAAAGCUUCAUACGGUUAAGUAUAACUAAAGCUUCUUACGGUUAAGAAAUACAAAUUUCAUGCAAUCUCAUCACUUAUAAGUUGCUGGCUUUUCUUGUUUUCUGCUGCAUUUGUGUAAGAUCAAGAGCCACAUAAUCUAGCCGGCUAGGGAAACUCAAUGAGUGUUAAUUAAUUAGUGUGAUAAAUGAAUCAACAAACCAACUUCAUUGUCUCUACAUUGUUCUGUGCAUAAUCAAACCUUUGUCAUCAGCAACAAGAAAAUAUCUUUCAUGACCGGGAUUCCUCAGUUCCUUUGCUUGACUCCAAAAGUGAACUUAGUAUCGUGAGACUGUAACCUCUUUUUGGGGCGCAAACGAACGAACUUCACAUACAAGAUUAGUCAAGCUAACUAGCAAUUAGAUCUUUAGCAGAGGCUACAGAUUCCGGGUUCAAAGAAGCUGGUGAGGUCUUCAACAAAGAUAUGUUGCAGUUUUCAUCUUCAUCUUUGUUUGGUCGUGGUCCAACCUCUUUGCUUCUGGGGGCUUCGACAGGCGUUGGAAGACACGUUGAUGAGGCUGUCAGGUCGCCGCGAAACAAAAGGAAAAGGGAGAGAGCGUCCUGAUGGUACGUGACUGACAGCUGAUACAAGGUUGGCUUUGUCCGGUUUCAGACAAAGAUUUGGUGGGCCCAACACGUUGGCCACAAUAUCAAACGCGAGAGUGAUAAUAGAUUGGCAAAACAAGAACACAUCUCUCACGGAUCCAUUUCAGUGAGAUAUGAAGAGGAUCUUAAAAAUAUAAGAGUGAUAAUAGAUUGGCAAAAUCAAGAACACAUCUCUCACAGGUCCAUUUCAGUGAGAUAUGAAGAUGAUCUUAAAAAAUAUAAAUAUGAAUCUUUUACUACUUAUUAGAUAUAUUUUUUAAGUAUAUAUACUAAAAGUAUAUAUAUAUAAUAAUAAUUAUAUUUUUUAUAUAUUUACACAAUAUAUAAAAUAUAUGUAUUAAAAGAUAUUAUAAGUUAAUUAAUCAUAAUUUUAUGAAUUAAUUUAACUAAUAAUAUAGAUUUAUCUUUAAUUAUAUAAAAUUAAAAAAAUAUAUAAUCGGAUUCGGAUAUCGGGUACCCAGAGGUGGUACCUGAACCCGAUACAUGUAGUAAAGUGAUUACCCGAAUCAAAUUAUAGGGUACUUUAAUUUUAUAUAACCGAAUCGGAUACCUGCGAGUACCCUGUAAUAAGAUACCCAUUGACAUCCUUAAAUAAACUUACUUAAAUUUUAUUAUUAUUUUAUUACUCUUAAUUUUUUAAAUACAUUUUUAGUAUUCAUAAACUGUUUAUUAAGUUUACAACUCAUAAGUAUAUAUAAACUUAUAAUAAUUACUAUAAAAUAUUUUUUAUUCAUAGUUAAAUCAAAAGUUUUAAUGAUACAACUUGUGUAUUUCUUUUUGAACAUUACGAAACUCAGUUGAAAAUGAUGAUCAACAUUUCAAAAAAAAAAGUGAUUAUCUUUUUAUUAAUUAAAGUAAUAGUAGGAAUAGUCAUUGGCACGUGAGUGGACCCGUUGAACCGAAAGUUCCUGCUACUUGACGCUACUUUCACCACGUAUUUUUUGGCUUUUGAAAGUUUUUUGUAGAUUUGUUGGCAUGACUUCAAAAUUAUAUGUAAUUAAAUACUAUAUAUAUAUAUAUAUGUAUAAUAUUGUUUUAAAGAAGAAAAAGAAAGGAAAAUGGAGUUCUAUGUGCCAAAAAAUUGAUUUUAUUUGUUGAAUAAAAUAAAAAAUAAUUAAAUGUAUAAUUGAUAGAUCAUAUAUAAAUUUUUUAAAAAAGAGCAUAUCUAUUAAUUAGAAAUAAUAAUUAAUUAUAUAAAUAUGUGAUUAAUAUUAAUUGAUUAACUAUUUUAAAUUAGUUACAUUAAUGAAUAAACUGAUUAAUUAGUUAAUUAAAUUAAUUAACUAACUAAUUUAUUUAUAUAAUAAUUUAAAUUAAUAAUUUAAUUCUUUAAAACUUAACUAAUUUGCUAAAAAUAAAUAUAUAUUAAUUUCACAUGUUUUAAUAUAUAAAUAUUUAGUAUUCAAAUAUUAUGUUAUUUUGUCAUGCUAUUAUUUAUUAUUUUAAGGAUAAAAUUAAAAAUUAAAAAUUUACAUUAAAAAAAAGGUAAGUUUGAAAAUAUAAAGGUAAUUUUAUAAAUUUGCAUUACAUUCUCAUACUUCCAAACCAAACACUACCAUCUAAUCUUCCAGCCAUCAUACUCCUUGCAAUAAUCACUUUUCUAUGUUAUACAAAACGUUACAAAGUUCUUCUCAUCCAUCAUAUUCCUUGCAAUUAUCAUUUUUCUAUAUAAUGCAAAACAAUGUAAAAUUCAUCCCAUCAAUCAUAUUCUCUACAAUCAUCACUUUCCAUGUUAUAUCAAAUGCUACAAAAUUCUUCCCAAUCAAUAACAUCCUUAGCAAUCGCACUACUAAAAAUCACAUUUUCAAUAAAAUAUCAAAAGACAUGAUUUAUUUUAUUAAGAACAAACUGAUUAACGUGAAAGUAGGGAAAAUUGACACGAAGUCAAUUCUAUCAUACCCUUAGGACAUGUGAUUGCAAUUUCUUGUAAAUUCAGCUUAAAAGCUGUCACGCCACGAACCCAAAAAUUUAAGACAUAACAGACAUCACAUACUUAUGAGAUAAAUCCCAUAAGCAUGUAAGGCAAUAAAUAUUAUGCUCAACAAAUGUACUAUCUCUGGUCUCUUCAAAACUUGCACUUUUCAAAACCUCAAGUUUCUAAAUAUAUAAUAUAAAUGAUUCUUCAAAAUAUACAAAUUACUCAACUAGCUAACAUCUCAUUACAAUAACUUGAAACUUAAUACUCACAUCAAAGCCUAUAAAUAUUCAAGGGUAGAUGUUAAUCUUACUAACCAAAUCUCUCGCCAAGCAAGUCUAAUCCUUAAUCAUGUGUACAUGUUGAACUCUAUAAAAAUGAUAAAGGUUAUAAGAAUGAGUACAACCACUCAGCAAGUAAUUAACAUCCCUUCAGCCGGAUUAAGCAUACUCAAAACAUUUAGGGCGAAAUUAUUAAUACACAUAUAAGUAUCAAAACAGAAUUUUGGGUAUUUUCAUUCAAAAUCAUAUAUUUCAAAAUUUCAUUUUCAAAUGACAAAAGUCAAUAUAAUUUCGCUUCAGAUAACGUAACUAAUAAAAUUUCCAAACUUUCAGAUAAUAGAACAAAACAUAAUUUUGCACUAAUUUCAUAUCUUAUUGAUCUCUUGUAACAUGUUACGACCACAUUUAACCCUCUGGCAUAGCUUAGAAAUAAAACCAUAAUUAACUCCAGUGACAUGGGUCAAAAGUAUAUCAAAAGCAACCAUUGGCCGCACUAUUUUGUAACCGAUGGUGUUGUUGAGAAAUUGAUCUCUAAUCACAAAAUACAUGUUGACAUGGCCAAUAUUUAACCCCCAUUGGUAGGGUUAGAGCACAACCAUACUAGAAGAUAAAACAUAAACAUAUAUUUUAAAUUACCCAAAUUUCAUAAAAUAAUGUAUUCACCCUCUCAAAACAUAUCUCAUGCAUAUCAAGAAUAUAAUUGUUUUAAACUAAAUAUCGACAAAGAUAGUCAUAUAUGCAUACAUUGAUGAAAAUCAUGUUUCAGAACAAAAUUGAAAUUAUAUUUCAAAAAUCAACAUAAAGAUCAUAUUUACUUGCUUAUAUUAGCAUGCUCACCCGAUUUAACAAACCAUAAGACAAUAUAUCAUAUACAAGCACAAAAAUCACAUUGAGGCUAAUUUUAGAGUGGGAAAACACUGAAUGAAUAUUAGUCACUUACCUAAUUGUCAAGUUCACUAUUAAGCAGCAAUUCAGAAAAUCCUGUUAGUAUCGUUGCUUUCUUGAAUAGAUUUUUUCCUUUUUCUGCCUUCUUUUUCUUCUCUCGAAUUAGUUUCUCUCAAAUGGUCUUUUUUUUUUUACUAUUUUUCUUUAAUGUGAUAAUGAAAACUAACUUAAAAACCCCUUCUUCUAUACUUUCUUUAUUAAUAAACCCAAAGGUCAUAUCUACAAUUAUAAAAAGUUAGACUUAUAUUUUAUUUAUUUAUUUAGUGUAGACUAUAACUUAGUACGUACUAAUUUUUUUACACAAUUAAUUAAGUAAACAAAAUUUUUAGGGGUAUUACAUACUCCCCCACUUAAAAGAAUUUGGUCCUCAAAUUAAAAAUUCAAUAAACUUCAAGUCUUGUCAACUUUUAAGCAAAUAUUACAUACAUUCCUCCUCUAAAAGAAUUUGUCUUCGUAAUCUAAAAAUAUUCCAAUGAAUCUUCACAUGAUCUUUUACGCAGGAACCAAAUUCAACAUAAUUAUAAAUCUAAAUAUUAUAUAGCUAACUAAUUAGACAUCUCAAAACUAGAAAUCUCAAUUCUUAUCCAAGGCAAGAUGCAAUUAGAAAAGUACAAAACUUUUUUAGAACUCCAUAAACUCCAAACAUGCAAAUUCAAAGAUUUCAAUGUUGUCUUGACAACAAACUUGUCAUGACCUAAAUUUCGGGCCAUGACCAGCGCAUGGGCCCAAUGGACGUAGUCCACUAAGCCCAAGCAAGCCUACUAUUUAUCUUGCUCAUUACUCCAUUAAAUAUUGCUAAGUCACAUUUUAUAACUUUGGAUCAAAAUGGUGAUGGACAUUGCCAACUCGUACUGGCGCUACUCAUUUAAAAUAUACAUACAUUAUCUACAUCAUUUAUUCUAAUAAUUUACAUUGGGUUUACCUAUACACAAUAAAAAAAAGAGUACUCGACUUUCAACGGAGAGACUCGGACGAAUAUACAACUACUGAAUGUCGAGACACCUACCAAGGGUCGAAUGUAUGAAGACACCUCGACUUAGCUACCAGCUGUCUCGUGAUCUGAAAACAUGAAGUUGAAAACGGUGAGUAUAAACCCAGUGAGUGAACAAGGAAGGGAACAAGCAACAGUAAGGGAAGAUUUAAAAAUCAUGAUGCACUUAUUUCAAAACAAUGCAAUUUAAUUUAGUGCUUAUCAAAAGCCCUCAAGAAACCCCUACCAUUAAAUCACUUAAUGUAAAGGGUCCAUGCUCGACUAUGGUACCAAAGAAGUGGAAAAUAGCGCGACAAUCGAUCAAGAUACUAAGCAAAACAGAAGGUUUUUCGUUGCAGCAAGAUUCAAGCCAUAAAACACAAACUUUCUCGCUGCAGCGAGAACCAUGUCUGGUGAAACCCUUGAAACUCAAAGGUUUCUCACUGCAGGAAGAAUGAAUCUCGCUGCAGUGAGAACAGAGCAACAAGAGAAAAGUUUCCCCUCACUCAAUAAAAAGCCAUCUUGCUAAACCAACAAAAUCAACAUAAAGCACAUGAAAAUUCUCAAAGUGCAAUGUAUCAAAUUUCACAUACAUUUCAAUCAUAUAUCAUAUUCAUGAGCCUUCAUUUCAUAAGCAUAGAUAUGCAUAAUUACAUAGAUAAACAUCAAUAUCAUCAUAAUCAUACCCGACUCAUGUGCAUCCCCCCACAUCGUGCACAUAGCUGGUGCCAUCGUAUGCAUCCUCCCACAUAGUGCACAGUCAGUGCCAUCGUGUACAUCCCCCCACAUCAUGCACACGGGCACUAUCAUCAUAAUCACACCUGGCUCAUGUAUAUCCCCCCCACAUCAUGCACAUAGCCGGCGCCAUCGUGUGCAUCCCCCCACAUCGUGCACAGUCAGUGCCAUCGUGUACAUCCCCACACAUCAUGCACACGGGCACUAUCAUCAUCCACCUCCCUCACUACGCCAUCACUAGCAUGUGCAUUUCCCCACAUUGUGCACAGUCAGUGUUAUAAUCAUCAUACACAAUAUGAAUUAUCAUGCACACCACACACACACACACAUAUAUAUACACCACCAAAAUGUAAUAGUGCAUAAAUCCAUAACCAAUCACAUGUCACAUCAUAAAGGCAAUUUUCAAAAGCUUGUUCCCAAGGCACUUGUUUUUAGGAAAAGCUAGAUAAACCAUUCAAAUGUUUGUGCAAUUUUAUUCAUAUUCCCAAAACAAGUUUUGAAACGCAGUUCACUCACCAGUAGUAGUUGAGUCUUUAGCCAACUCGAACCUCCCUAAUGGUCCAAUUGGGAUAAUGGGGCUUCGUUGGAACUUACCAUCAAAUUAAUAUCACCAUAAUGUCAAUUCAUACUUAUAAACCCUAAAAGCUACCCCUUAGCUAGCUUUCAAUUGCCAUUUUAAAUGGCUAUCUAUUCCCACUAUCCUAGUCACAAUAGAGUCAAUACACAAUCUCAACAAUAAACCCACAAUUCAAUCAUUAAACAUUAUCAACACUUAAAACCCAAUGCUAAUUUACUACUCACCUUGAUAGUUUAGUAAACUUUGAAUUUCUUUCCAACAAUUCCCAAGCUAUUAUAGAGCUUUUUCUCUCUUUCUCUAUCUAAACACCUAGCUAGUGAGAGAAAAUAUGGAAACAAGAUUUUUCAAGGGUUUUAAAGAGAGAGAGUGGAAGAGCAUAAGGAUUUAUGAAAGGAUGUACCAAAAGCAUGAAAAUUUAAGCUAAUUUGAAAGAGGUUAUAAAGCUUGGUAUCAAGCUUCCAUGGAGGAUGGAAGCAGCGUGAAAAGGAAAAGAAGGAGAAGAUGAAAGCUGCUGGAAAAGUAUGUGAGAAGCUGCUGGAAGCAAGAUGCUUAUAGCCCAAGCUUAUCCAAUUCACUUAGAAAUUAUGAAAAUGCCCUUUAGCAAGUUAACUCGUUUUUCUCCCAUCCUUUGUGCAAUCUUUUUAUUUUUUUUGACACUAGGACAAGGUCCACAAUGAUCUAAACUACUCGGGUUUACGAAAACUUAAAAUUUUGACUCGAGAUGCAAAAUGACCAUUUUACCCUUUUUGUUUCCCUCUAUUUUAACUUAGUCCUCCCAUCACUCAUUUAACUCUAAUUUCCCUCUAUUACUUUCUUCUACACAUGCACAAAACAAGGUAUUAAGUUUGUACUCCAACGCGGUGUCAUCAUAAUAUUUAAAAUAUUUACUUGCUCGUGUUAUCUUUACUUAAUAAAGAUACGCGACCCCAUUAACGUCAUUUUUCUCCAAAAUUCUUUCAUUCUUUUUCUCCUCCACUUAGAUUGACCAUAUACUCAUUCUUCAUGAAAAUUUUUGACACUGAACAAAAUAUUAAUUGUCACGACCCGGAACUCCUAUCGGGCCCGUGACAACCGCUGCGACGUCCCGAUAAGCACUCAUUACCCCGAAUACCGNNNNNNNNNNNNNNNNNNNNNNNNNNNNNNNNNNNNNNNNNNNNNNNNNNNNNNNNNNNNNNNNNNNNNNNNNNNNNNNNNNNNNNNNNNNNNNNNNNNNNNNNNNNNNNNNNNNNNNNNNNNNNNNNNNNNNNNNNNNNNNNNNNNNNNNNNNNNNNNNNNNNNNNNNNNNNNNNNNNNNNNNNNNNNNNNNNNNNNNNNNNNNNNNNNNNNNNNNNNNNNNNNNNNNNNNNNNNNNNNNNNNNNNNNNNNNNNNNNNNNNNNNNNNNNNNNNNNNNNNNNNNNNNNNNNNNNNNNNNNNNNNNNNNNNNNNNNNNNNNNNNNNNNNNNNNNNNNNNNNNNNNNNNNNNNNNNNNNNNNNNNNNNNNNNNNNNNNNNNNNNNNNNNNNNNNNNNNNNNNNNNNNNNNNNNNNNNNNNNNNNNNNNNNNNNNNNNNNNNNNNNNNNNNNNNNNNNNNNNNNNNNNNNNNNNNNNNNNNNNNNNNNNNNNNNNNNNNNNNNNNNNNNNNNNNNNNNNNNNNNNNNNNNNNNNNNNNNNNNNNNNNNNNNNNNNNNNNNNNNNNNNNNNNNNNNNNNNNNNNNNNNNNNNNNNNNNNNNNNNNNNNNNNNNNNNNNNNNNNNNNNNNNNNNNNNNNNNNNNNNNNNNNNNNNNNNNNNNNNNNNNNNNNNNNNNNNNNNNNNNNNNNNNNNNNNNNNNNNNNNNNNNNNNNNNNNNNNNNNNNNNNNNNNNNNNNNNNNNNNNNNNNNNNNNNNNNNNNNNNNNNNNNNNNNNNNNNNNNNNNNNNNNNNNNNNNNNNNNNNNNNNNNNNNNNNNNNNNNNNNNNNNNNNNNNNNNNNNNNNNNNNNNNNNNNNNNNNNNNNNNNNNNNNNNNNNNNNNNNNNNNNNNNNNNNNNNNNNNNNNNNNNNNNNNNNNNNNNNNNNNNNNNNNNNNNNNNNNNNNNNNNNNNNNNNNNNNNNNNNNNNNNNNNNNNNNNNNNNNNNNNNNNNNNNNNNNNNNNNNNNNNNNNNNNNNNNNNNNNNNNNNNNNNNNNNNNNNNNNNNNNNNNNNNNNNNNNNNNNNNNNNNNNNNNNNNNNNNNNNNNNNNNNNNNNNNNNNNNNNNNNNNNNNNNNNNNNNNNNNNNNNNNNNNNNNNNNNNNNNNNNNNNNNNNNNNNNNNNNNNNNNNNNNNNNNNNNNNNNNNNNNNNNNNNNNNNNNNNNNNNNNNNNNNNNNNNNNNNNNNNNNNNNNNNNNNNNNNNNNNNNNNNNNNNNNNNNNNNNNNNNNNNNNNNNNNNNNNNNNNNNNNNNNNNNNNNNNNNNNNNNNNNNNNNNNNNNNNNNNNNNNNNNNNNNNNNNNNNNNNNNNNNNNNNNNNNNNNNNNNNNNNNNNNNNNNNNNNNNNNNNNNNNNNNNNNNNNNNNNNNNNNNNNNNNNNNNNNNNNNNNNNNNNNNNNNNNNNNNNNNNNNNNNNNNNNNNNNNNNNNNNNNNNNNNNNNNNNNNNNNNNNNNNNNNNNNNNNNNNNNNNNNNNNNNNNNNNNNNNNNNNNNNNNNNNNNNNNNNNNNNNNNNNNNNNNNNNNNNNNNNNNNNNNNNNNNNNNNNNNNNNNNNNNNNNNNNNNNNNNNNNNNNNNNNNNNNNNNNNNNNAACUUUCUCUCUCUAAACCCAUAUGAUCAGAUUUGAAUCCAUCAUCAAAACACAUAAUUUAACCAUGGAAAAUAAGGAGAAAUGCAUGGAAAUGAUAAAUCUUAAGCUAAGCUUGAAAAAUCAUACCUUUAAACACUUGAUUCCUUGAAAAAUCACACUUUUUCUUUGAAUUUUCUCACUCUAGGGUUUGUUCUUAUUUCUCUCUCUCUCCUGCUGGUUUUGGCUGACCAUCCCAAUGAAGAAUUCAGGAAUUUUCAAGCCUUUUAAUAGGCUUAAUAAAAUAUUAUUAUUUUAUUUACCUUUUGAAUUUUUAUUAUUUUAUUUUUUUCUAGCCAUCCUUUUUACUUUCUUUUUCUACCACUCAAUCCUUUUCACUUAUCCAUGUCUUCCAUGAAAUUCUAGACUUUUUCAAAGUUUUGGUGGAGUAAAUUUUUAAAAAUUACACUUUUGCCCCCGUAAAGUGAAAAAUUACAUUUUUACCCAAAAAAACUGAAAAAUUACCCAUAAACAUAUUUUUCAUCCCUUAUACUCAUACCAUUCUUCAAUUUGUCAAAUGUGAUCUAAAUUCUCUCAAAAUCUCAAAUUUUGUUCGCGGGUGGAAAAAUUACAAUUUUGCCCAUAGAUAGUGAAAAUUCUGGUUUGACUCCAAAUUGAUCCUCGAACUCCUAAUUACCAUUUUGAGUCAUCUCUGAACUGUAAAACUCUUAAUUUCACCUUAAAAUUUCUAUUUGAACUAGUUCGAGGCUUAAUCGACUUAAUGAUACCAUUAGGAGCAAUAUCGUCUUUUAACGAUUUCUCGAACGUCCUAAUAUAUAAACAUUCUAUCAAGCAUGUGAAUGACAUUAUAAUUAUUUUACAAAGCAGGGUUUGACAUUAAUAUUUUAAUAUUAUUUUAUUAAUAAAAUAUUAUUUUAUUUCAAAAAUUUCCUCUUACCUCCUCUUGUCUCCUUGGCACCCAACAUAUCUUAUUAUGCCUAUUUAGACCUUAAAAUACCAUAAAACCUUCUUCUACAUGACGUUUUUUCUAAGUCUAGAAAUGCAUGUUUGCUUAAUUACUUGCAACUUGAAAGGUCUUGGUUUUAGUCAUAGUCUUACGGUCUAGUAGUGUACAAGGAAAUCAUUUUUAGAUGUUACUUUAUGAUAGAAUCAAAUGUAAAGUUCCCUGAUUUUUUGGGUAACAAAGAAUUUUAACAUCUUGGAUUUACCGGAGUAGUUGGGAUCUCUACAUUAAGCUAAAGAUGUUUCCAUCAUGUUAGUUAAAGAUACUUCCAUCAUGUUAGUUCGUAGUCUCUGUCACGAUCGAUGAAUAAUUCCAAGGUCAAUCGAGCCAAAGUCUUGCCUAGAAGCCUGGAGUUUAAUGCUGUUUAGAAUGUUCAAUCAAAUGGCGUCUAUUCUUAUCUUCUAAGCAAAAAGCUUUCAGACUAUACAUCCAUGGACAUGGAUAUCCUUUCUUUCAGUGCUUGUUUCCUCAUCAUCUUCUCAAAAGCUUCCAACGCACUCGACAAGAUUUCUCCUACUGAACCACUCAUUGAUGGCAAGACCUUGGUCUCUAGUGAUGGAAGCUUUAUAUUGGGUUUCUUCACUCCGGGGAGUUCUAAGAAUCGUUACUUGGGAAUUUGGUACAAUAACAUCCCCAUGCAAACUGUGGUUUGGGUUGCAAACAGGAUAAACCCGAUAAAUGACACCACUGGCUUGCUGAGGAUAGAAACCACUGGCAGAGUCGUGCUUCUAGGUCAGAACCAAACAACUGUUUGGUCAACUAAUUCCACAAAAGCAGCUCAGAAUCCGAUUCUGCAGCUCCUGG
rnacentral:lncRNA from 1 species